rnacentral:rRNA from 1 species
UACGUAGGGUGCAAGCGUUGUCCGGAUUUAUUGGGCGUAAAGAGCUCGUAGGUGGCAAAGUAAGUCGGGAGUUAAACCGCUGGGCUUAACCCAGCGUUGCUACCGAUACUGCUUAGCUUGAGUAUGGCAGGGGAGAACGGAAUUCCACGUGUAGCGGUGAAAUGCGCAGAUAUGUGGAGGAACACCAAUGGCGAAGGCAGUUCUCUGGGCCAUUACUGACACUGAGGAGCGAAAGCGUGGGGAGCGAACAGG